UACGUAGGGACCAAGCGUUGUUCGGAUUUACUGGGCGUAAAGUGUGCGCAGGCGGCGUUGCAAGUCGAGUGUGAAAUCCCCGAGCUUAACUUGGGAAUUGCGCACGAAACUACGAUGCUCGAGUGUGGCAGAGGAAGGUGGAAUUCCACGUGUAGCGGUGAAAUGCGUAGAGAUGUGGAGGAACACCGAUGGCGAAGGCAGCCUUCUGGGCCAACACUGACGCUCAUGCACGAAAGCGUGGGGAGCAAACAGG
rnacentral:rRNA from 1 species